AUUGAACGCUGGCGGCAUGCUUUACACAUGCAAGUCGAACGGUAACAGGCCGCAAGGUGCUGACGAGUGGCGAACGGGUGAGUAAUGUAUCGGAACGUGCCCAGUCGUGGGGGAUAACGCAGCGAAAGCUGUGCUAAUACCGCAUACGAUCUAUGGAUGAAAGCGGGGGACCGUAAGGCCUCGCGCGAUUGGAGCGGCCGAUAUCAGAUUAGGUAGUUGGUGGGGUAAAGGCUCACCAAGCCAACGAUCUGUAGCUGGUCUGAGAGGACGACCAGCCACACUGGGACUGAGACACGGCCCAGACUCCUACGGGAGGCAGCAGUGGGGAAUUUUGGACAAUGGGCGCAAGCCUGAUCCAGCAAUGCCGCGUGCAGGACGAAGGCCUUCGGGUUGUAAACUGCUUUGUACGGUAGCGAAAGGACUCUCUCUAAUACAGGAGUUCAUGACGGUACCGUAAGAAUAAGCACCGGC
rnacentral:rRNA from 1 species